GGGGGUGUGGUCAAGGGGUAUGACAAGCGAUCCGCAUGAAUUGGGACGCUUCGCUUAGCCGCGGUUCGAGUCCGCGCUCCUCCA